CUCUGUCUAACGACGAAAGAAGAAGCAUUCACCACAGCAGACCCAGAUUGAAUUAAAGAUGACUAGCUACCAAGCAGCAUUGGUAAUGUGCGUUGUGUUACUGAUGGUUGUGGAUAUACAGGCUCAAGAGGAUCCUGUACGAGAAAACCUUGCACUACAGGGAACUGCAACCCAGAUUUCUACUGCUUUCCUUGGGAAUGCUAGUUUGGCUAUUGAUGGGAAUGAUGAUCCUAGUUACUU